rnacentral:rRNA from 1 species
UACAGAGGUCUCAAGCGUUGUUCGGAUUCAUUGGGCGUAAAGGGUGCGUAGGCGGCGCGGUAAGUCGGGUGUGAAAUCUCGGAGCUUAACUCCGAAACUGCAUUCGAUACUGCCGUGCUUGAGGACUGGAGAGGAGACUGGAAUUUACGGUGUAGCGGUGAAAUGCGUAGAUAUCGUAAGGAACACCGAUGGCGAAGGCAGGUCUCUGGGCCAUAACUGACGCUGAGAAGCGAAAGCAUGGGGAGCGAACAGG